rnacentral:rRNA from 1 species
ACUCCUACGGGAGGCAGCAGUGGGGAAUAUUGCACAAUGGGCGCAAGCCUGAUGCAGCCAUGCCGCGUGUGUGAAGAAGGCCUUCGGGUUGUAAAGCACUUUCAGUCGUGAGGAAGGUAGUGUAGUUAAUAGCUGCAUUAUUUGUACGUUAGCGACAGAAGAAGCACCGGCUAACUCCGUGCCAGCAGCCGCGGUAAUACGGAGGGUGCGAGCGUUAAUCGGAAUUACUGGGCGUAAAGCGCAUGCAGGUGGUUGUUAAGUCAGAUGUGAAAGCCCGGGGCGUCAACCUCGGAAUAGCAUUUGAAACUGGCAGACUAGAGUACUGUAGAGGGGGUAGAAUUUCAGGUGUAGCGGUGAAAUGCGUAGAGAUCUGAAGGAAUACCGGUGGCGAAGGCGGCCCCUGGACAGAUACUGACACUCAGAUGCGAAAGCGUGGGA